rnacentral:rRNA from 1 species
UGGGGAAUUUUGGACAAUGGGCGAAAGCCUGAUCCAGCAAUGCCGCGUGUGUGAAGAAGGCCUUCGGGUUGUAAAGCACUUUUGUCCGGAAAGAAAUCCUUGGCUCUAAUACAGUCGGGGGAUGACGGUACCGGAAGAAUAAGCACCGGCUAACUACGUGCCAGCAGCCGCGGUAAUACGUAGGGUGCAAGCGUUAAUCGGAAUUACUGGGCGUAAAGCGUGCGCAGGCGGUUUGCUAAGACCGAUGUGAAAUCCCCGGGCUCAACCUGGGAACUGCAUUGGUGACUGGCAGGCUAGAGUAUGGCAGAGGGGGGUAGAAUUCCACGUGUAGCAGUGAAAUGCGUAGAGAUGUGGAGGAAUACCGAUGGCGAAGGCAGCCCCCUGGGCCAAUACUGACGCUCAUGCACGAAAGCGUGGGGAGCAAACAGGAUUAGAUACCCUGGUAGUCCACGCCCUAAACGAUGUCAACUAGUUGUUGGGGAUUCAUUUCCUUAGUAACGUAGCUAACGCGUGAAGUUGACCGCCUGUGGAGUACGGUCGCAAGAUUAAAAC